rnacentral:rRNA from 1 species
CCUACGGGAGGCAGCAGUGGGGAAUAUUGGACAAUGGGCGCAAGCCUGAUCCAGCCAUGCCGCGUGAGUGAUGAAGGCCUUAGGGUUGUAAAGCUCUUUUGUACGGGAAGAUAAUGACGGUACCGUAAGAAUAAGCCCCGGCUAACUUCGUGCCAGCAGCCGCGGUAAUACGAAGGGGGCUAGCGUUGCUCGGAAUCACUGGGCGUAAAGGGUGCGUAGGCGGGUUUUUAAGUCAGAGGUGAAAUCCUGGAGCUCAACUCCAGAACUGCCUUUGAUACUGAAAGUCUUGAGUAUGGGAGAGGUGAGUGGAACUGCGAGUGUAGAGGUGAAAUUCGUAGAUAUUCGCAAGAACACCAGUGGCGAAGGCGGCUCACUGGCCCAUUACUGACGCUGAGGCACGAAAGCGUGGGGAGCAAACAGGAUUAGAUACCCUGGUAGUCCACGCCGUAAACGAAUGAAUAGCCACGCCGUUAGUGGGUUUUACGUUCACUAAGUGGUCGGCGAGACUACUACUUAACGUACUAUCGUCCGUCGGGAGGUAGGUACGGACGAGAAUAAAAUUAAAAUUAAAAGUAAGUAAGUAGCGNGAGAGCGACGACGACGACGACGAGGAGGAGG